UGGAGGUGUUUUUGCUCCUGGACUCACAGCACCCUCUAUUGUACCUCUAGACCACUGGUGAAGAAGGUGUGGCUUUUGCCAGAUGCCAAAAUA